GUCUUGGUAGUCUAAAGGCUUAGCACGCUCGUACGGAAUACAAGAGAUCCGGGUUCGACUCCCGGCCGAGAUA
rnacentral:tRNA from 1 species